GUAGGGUGCGAGCGUUAAUCGGAAUUACUGGGCGUAAAGCGUGCGCAGGCGGCUUUGCAAGACAGAUGUGAAAUCCCCGGGCUCAACCUGGGAACUGCAUUUGUGACUGCAAGGCUAGAGUACGGUAGAGGGGGAUGGAAUUCCGCGUGUAGCAGUGAAAUGCGUAGAUAUGCGGAGGAACACCAAUGGCGAAGGCAAUCCCCUGGACCUGUACUGACGCUCAUGCACGAAAGCGUGGGGAGCAAACAGGAUUAGAUACCCUGGUAGUCCACGCCCUAAACGAUGUCAACUGGUUGUUGGACGGCUUGCUGUUCAGUAACGAAGCUAACGCGUGAAGUUGACCGCCUGGGGAGUACGGCCGCAAGGUUGAA
rnacentral:rRNA from 1 species